rnacentral:rRNA from 1 species
AUGAGCUUUGACAUUCUCGAUCCUGAGAGAGAUUCAGACAAAAUUCUAACACAAAUUUCAGCAGUGUCUUACAAUUUCAAGAUGCUUUUCAUUGCAAGCUAUCCACAUUGCCCUUUCUUCAACAUUCAGAGUUUUGGAAUAAGGCACAUGAAAGUGACAAAGUUGGAAACAAGGGAAUCAGUUAACACAGGCAUCUACGUCUGGAAGUACUUUACAAGUUACAAUGGCAUCGAAACUGAUGUUUUCUCAAAAGUUCAUAUUAUUCUUUUAUUUAAAACAAUGUUUCAAGUUAUUCUUUUGCUGAAUAUCAUGAGACAAUGA